GGAUCUAGUCAGGUCUGGGGAGAACUUAGGAGAUGGUAGACCUAAAUGCCAAAGACCCUGGUUCCUUGAGUGAUUAUGUGGAGAAAAGUCCACAUGCUAAACUGUGAACUGAGCAUGACGAGGACCUUUAUUUUUAUUUAGCUACCAAGACUAGGUAGUAUAGCUUGCUUACUCAUUUCAUACAAUUCAUGUGCCCAUUUCUCAGACAAGGAAAGAGAGACCCUUAGAAGUGACCAGCCUCUUCCACAGUAUUUUGAUGGUGUUUGUGAGGAUUGCUCACACAUACCCUUCAGCUGGCACCCAGGAUGGAGGCCUGCAGCUUCCUGAACACAGAAGAACUUCAAGAGUCUGAAAGGAGUUGCAGACGGUGUGAGAACCAGUCGCUCUUCAGACACUCCCACUUGGCUUCCACUAGGCUCAGUCUCCACUUCAAACACGAUAUAUUUUAGGAAACCGACUACUCACUGCUACUCAGCCCCAUCACUGAGGAAGCUUUCUUCAUUUGUCACAUGACAAGAUGGCAGAAAGAAAACCCUGGUACAUCAUGUCCUGAAGAAGAAACUUACAGAAACUUAGCCUAUGAAUUUAUGCUUUGCCAACAAGCACCGCCGUCACAAGGUUUCUGCUACAAAGAAAGCCAAUCUGUAUAAAUAUUCACUGUCAUAAUAAAUGGAAAUAGAGGGGCUAGAGAGGUAUCUCAGUGGUUAAGAACACUUCUUACUCUUGCAGAGGACCCAGGUUCAGUUCCUAGCACUCAUACUGGGCAGCUUACAACCAUCUGGAACUCCAGUUCUAAGGGGAAAUCCGAUGCCCUCUUCAGGCCUCUGUAGGCACUGCAUGCACA